rnacentral:rRNA from 1 species
UACGUAGGGGGCAAGCGUUGUCCGGAUUUAUUGGGCGUAAAGAGCGUGUAGGCGGCCAGGUAGGUCGGUUGUGAAAACUGGAGGCUCAACCUCCAGACGUCGACCGAAACCAUCUGGCUAGAGUCCGGAAGAGGAGAGUGGAAUUCCUGGUGUAGCGGUGAAAUGCGCAGAUAUCAGGAAGAACACCGAUGGCGAAGGCAGCUCUCUGGGACGGUACUGACGCUGAGACGCGAAAGCGUGGGGAGCGAACAGG